UUAAUAGUUGGCAUAUUUUUCAUGAAAGAAGUGUUGGGUUUUGGGCCUUUUUACCUUCCUACGUGGAUAAAUAAAUAGCACACUUUUUGGUCCAGCUCAAUCUUAGUUUUGGCCCAUAUAUUUGAUAGACCUUUUAGGUCUGAUUUAGGGAUUAGAGAAACUGCGAGAGAGCACACUUUAGAGAAAAAGAGAGAAAAGAGUGCAGAUUUGUUUGCUAAAAAUACCUCCAACCACCCAACUUCUUUUGGUGUUUCCCAUAUCAUUUCAUGUUGAAUCAAGCUGAAACUUGAACUGAGUGUUUUUCACAUCUUGGUCUUCAAGUGAGAACUGACAGAGCACGGUUUGGUAUCCUGUAGCUCCAGAUUGUGGAUCGUGAAGAGUAGCUAUAUUUUUGGUGAUUUCUCUCCUUUUCUUGACUUGUUUUGGUGCAAGCUUGUUGCUAUUGUUGUUCAACGUCUGGCAUUGAUAUUGUAGACAUUUUGGAGAAAUGUUAUAGCUCUCUCAAUGAUAUAGUGGAUCUUUGGAGCGUGGUUUUUUUACUCUUCAUAUUGAAGAGGUUUUUCCACGUUAAAUUUGGUGUCUCUUGCAAUUGUUUAUUUUCCUUGCCUAUAGUUAUUGGUUGUGUGCUAUACCAGCUGCCCGUACACCAUUUGUGCUAGAAUUUAUUGGCUUCAAAUAGAUUGAAGAUGUUCGACUUGGGUAUUACUCCGUUGCUACUGAUAAGUAUGCUGGAAAAUGUAAGUUCAAAGAAGAAAAAUGACUCAAAAAGGAGAUGUUGUAGCCAAAUUCAAUAAAGAGAAAAAGUGCUGAUAAAGGUGUGGUCCGAAGAACUACACAUGCGACCAUAAAAGCAAGUGUGGUCCGCAAAAUAAAGAAUGCGGCCGUAGAGGAAGAACUGAAGCUUCAGGGACUUUUGGCAGAAGUACGGUCAGCAGAAUAAAAUGUCGGUUGCACUUGGUCCACAGAACAAGUUCACACUAACAAGCUUGAAACAUUAGAGAAUGAGCAGUUGAACAAGUCUAAAGCCUCCUCAAAUGCUGUCUGCAGAAAUUAAAGUGCGGUCGCAAAAGCUGAAGUGCGAUCGCAGAACUUCUCCCACUGAAGGCACAUGCAAUGUCAAUCCAACAAAAUGCGAACCGUAAAAGCUGAUGUGCGGCCGCAGAACCUUCUGAAGGACAUUUUUGUCAAAGAUUUUGGUAUCCCUAUAAAUAGAAUUUCAUGACUUUUUUAGGGCCUCUUAUCAUUGUAGCAACUAAGAGUUAGUUAUUUUUAGCUAUUUGGAGCAAGUUUGAGCUACAAUUGUAGAAGAUCAUCUACUCUUUCGUUUAUUUUUGGUUUUAUGUCUUUGAUUUCUUCUUAUUUU